AGUGAACGCUGGCGGUAGGCCUAACACAUGCAAGUCGAACGGCAGCACAGUAAGAGCUUGCUCUUACGGGUGGCGAGUGGCGGACGGGUGAGGAAUACAUCGGAAUCUACUUUUUCGUGGGGGAUAACGUAGGGAAACUUACGCUAAUACCGCAUACGACCUACGGGUGAAAGCAGGGGAUCUUCUGACCUUGCGCGAUUGAAUGAGCCGAUGUCGGAUUAGCUAGUUGGCGGGGUAAAGGCCCACCGAGGCGACGAUCCGUAGCUGGUCUGAGAGGAUGAUCAGCCACCCUGGAGCUGAGACACGGUCCAGACUCCUACGGGAGGCAGCAGUGGGGAAUAUUGGACAAUGGGCGCAAGCCUGAUCCAGCCAUACCGCGUGGGUGAAGAAGGCCUUCGGGUUGUAAAGCCCUUUUGUUGGGAAAGAAAAGCAGCAGGUUAAUACCCCGCUGUUCUGACGGUACCCAAAGAAUAAGCACCGGCUAACUUCGUG
rnacentral:rRNA from 1 species